rnacentral:sRNA from 1 species
AGACUGCACGGUCGGGACGCCGGUAAGUAGUUGCCAUCGGGCGGUGAAGUGGAACAUGCUAACCCCGCAACUGAAGCGUCAUCGGAAGCUUGUGAAACAUGUAUGGAAUCCCCAAACAGCCGGCCAUCACCAAACUGCAGUAUCUGUUGUUGUUACUCCAUUUUAGAAGCUCGGUUCAGGUACACAAAUAUCGAUCCCGGAGGUGAAUUUUAUCCGGGCAGAAGGAGUGAAUCUUAACACCAUUUUCUUUGGGAAUUAAAAAACCUACUCCGGCGCGGGAGUCGCGUCCCGGUGUGAUGUCACAGUCGUCUGGACUAUGUUAGGAUGACCUUUAGUGUGACCCGAGCCGAUCAGCGAGUGCCAGCGAGGCGUAUGUCAAAGUCUAUCGACUUUGGAAAGCAGCCAAAACAGUAUAUGUGAUCAGUAAUAGAUGUUUAAAUAUGACAAUAAUAUUAAACACAGCGAUUUCCUUGGAGCCCACUGCACACAGAAAAUUGCCGCAAUUAAUGUUGUGCACCGAAUACAAGAGAAACAGAUCGUUUGUAUAGAACAUUUUAUUUACAAAACAGCAAAAUAUUAAUACUUCAGAACAUGGAGCAAUACACAAUACAUAAACACUGUGCGUUAUCUGGAACAAAGGGAAGAUAACAAAAUAUGAACCCUGUCGUCAAAUGUAAUGGAUAUGCCUUCUUUCUGGACAAACAAAUAACACAAAAUCGGUACUCCUCAGAACACAUAGUCCAUCGAAAUAAUGAGGAUUACCCCUGAGCAAAAACAAAACAUGUCGCCCAGAUUUGUAUUCACCAACCAAAACAAUAUGGAUAAAGUUGUGAAUAAUGGACAAAAACAACAAUGAUGAUGGGGUUCAAUGAAAGAUUUUUGUCUUGUACAGAGAAUAGAAAACAUCAGAGGCGUUUGGGGAUACAGAGUCACAAGAUGGCAGCCCAUGAGUUAUAGUAUACCAUCUUCAUCAGUUUCCGCCUUACAAGGAUAUAAAGAAUAUAAAUCAGGCACGUGAGCAUUGAAGUACAAAGUCCUUUUUGUCGCUGUAUGAUUUUAAAGUCAACACAUCAAUGCAUUUGUACCAUAUUUUGCAGAUAAAUAAAAUAUCGAAAGAUU